AAAGAGAGAUUGCUGCUUGUGUGCAGAAAGAAAGGUUCCUGAAUAAACUGCUUUGAGAAGAACGCUGUGUCGUCGCUCUUUUCUGCGGGUAGGAGACAGAAGCGAUAAGUGGUAGUCCAUAUGGGGACAUUCGUUCAGAACUCAUCACGGUCAGGGCAGCUAGCCAGUAAGUUUCCAGAGCUGGGGACCAAACUCAGGACCUUGUGCUUGCUAGGCAAGCGCUCUAUCACUGAGCUAAAUCCCCAACCCCACUGACUCUCUUUCUAACAGAUGUGUUGAUCUCUACAACACUAAAAGAUCCAUGUUUUGUUCAGCCAGCAUCAUAGAAACUUCAUCCUACAGGAGACGAUGAAUAAUACAGAGACCCACAAAUGAACUGAAUGUGCAGAAACACACCCCUGUGUAAACAGAUUUUUUUCCUGUGACCCUUGAAGAAGGUAUCUGAAGAUUCUCUAUCAGAACGGCCAGCCUAACUUGUGGAAUGUGAAGGCAAAGGAGUUUGCAUUCUGGAACUAACUUCACUUCUGCCAAGGCGUGUGUGAGUAUCUCGGAGUGGCUUGUCUUCUGACCCCUUGUCCAUUACUGUCUCCAGACACUCUGAGAUGCAACUUGUGAGCAUACUUCCACUUCACAUUGCUGUCUGCAGACCUUGCUGACUCACCCUCCUGCUGUCCACUCUCUAUCCUUAUACACCUGUCUCCAGUUUCACACUGUCCCUGGGUGCUCACAGCCACUCUGGUGGUUUCACUUCUGACAUGUUAAAUGAAAGCACUGGAAGCUCAAUCCCCAGCUCCCUUGAACUUCAUCCCCACAUUCGGCUGCCUUUUCUAGCAUCUGCCUUGAAUGUCCUCCAAGCUCCGCAAACCCAACCACUUAAACAGCAGAGCUUCUUUUUAACCUCUUUCCCAGCUGCUACUCUAUUGUCCCUAAGUGUGUUUUCUUGGACAACAGUGCUGUUAUCUAUGUUAAGCUUCUAAUACUUCAGGGUCAUUUUGGGAGUCCCUUCAUCUGUUAUCUCCAUUGCUAAAUCAACCCUCAGUUCCUGUGGGUUCUUAGAGGUUGAAGAGUCUUGGUAACAAGACACAUCUGUCCUUCAAUAAAUACACCAAGCAUAGCUAUUCUUGCCUGCCUUUAAUUCUUCCUUAGUCUAGAACCUUCACCUUCUCCCUUUCUUACUAACAGAAAAUAAAUCUCUUUGGCUAACCCCCAAUAUCUAUGUCUUCAAAUAGUCUGCAAAUAUAAUGUAGACCUAGCUAUUAGUUCCCCACUUACAAAAGGAAAGUAAAAAUAGAGUUUACAAUCUUUAGCAUUGUAGACCCAGAUCUUCACUCCUGACUCCAGUGGACAUUUCUAAUUACAAUAUACAGAUACUUUAAUCUAUCACACGCAUUAUCAACUUACCCAGAGGACAGUCUCAGCUCAGUAUUUAGUUGAAAUUUAACACUAAUUGACUUUUUUAAAAAAAAGUCAUUGACUGUAUUGUUGGUCUUUACUGGAAUUUUAUAGUAGAUAAAGAAAAUUCGUUGCAGAACUUGAAAACACUUUCUCUCCAAAACCACAGCCUUCACAGAAGCUGUUAAAUAUUCUAGCUUCUCCAGCUUGACUUUUGGGCUCUCUUCCUAUCACCACCUUGGCUUCAUUUGCUCUGUUAGCUCUUUCCAGCUGGGUAUUCUCUUCCUCACACUUCUUCAGAUUAGGAAUUACAGUUGUAACCAUUUAGUACAAUUGAGCAACUAGGUAGAAAAAUAAACAACAGCAAGGGGAGGAGGGAGGGUGAUGGAAUUUCUAACUCAUUUUCCUUGGGUUUGGAUGUUGACUCUAGAGAUGCACAAAAAGAAGGCAGCAGAGAGACCUGUAGAGAGGCAUUUUAUUAAUUCAGAAGAAAUGGUGGUUUGGGGGAUCAUGAUGGUAAAGAUUCAGAUGGGUUUGAUGGCAAGAUUCUGGAUCUAUAUUGAGAGCCACACCACUGGGAAUUUAAGAGUGAGAAAUCAAGCACCACCCAGCUGCCUCCACAGUUAUACAUCUUUCUAUUAACUGGCAAAAGAAAUAUAUUGGGUAAAUUUAGCUUGAGAUAUCAAAAUCUCAGUUGGGGUAAAAAUCCAUUAGAGAGGUCUUUUCAUCAUACAAGAUGGUAUGUUUAAUCUAGAGAUCAAAGUUGGCCAUCAUUAAUGUAUCAUUAACAUAUGAAUUUCAAAUCAUGCCAUUGGUGAGGGGAUCAGUAUCGGGGACAGAGAGUGAGAAUUGAGGAUGGAAACUAGAAAGUCUUGACAAUUUCCAUCAUUCCCUGCUCAAAAUCACAUGGGAGAAUCAGAGAGGAGGCCAAGGAACCAAUGGCAAAGGAUGCAGAAACCCAAGAGAGGACAGUGUCCUAGAAGACAAGAGUCAUCGCAAGGAGCAAAUGAUAGUUGCCACCAAAUUGAAAAAGAAGAAACCUGGUUAAAAUGGAUUCUAGAGACUGUAGGAAGAGAGAAAUCGCAAGCUGUGAGUAUAAACAGUUCUUUUGAGGAGUUUUGUGAGAGAAACAGGAAAAUUAUUAGAAACCAAGGUUUGAGAAAAUGAAUAGAGGGGGAGUUCUUUCUUCCUUUCUUUUCUUUCUUUCUUUCUUUCUUUCUUUCUUUCUUUCUCCCUUUCUUUCUUUCUUUCUUUCUUCCUUCCUUCCUUUCUUUUUUUCUUUCUUUCAUCUUCUCAAUUGUUUUAAUAUAAAAAUAUGUUUGAGUGUUGAUGAAAUGGUCCACAGAGGGUAUGGGGUUUAUUAACGUAAGAGAUGAAUGGAAAAUUCCAGGAUCAGCAGGAAGUGGUAACCUAGGAACUUAGCCCCCCAACACUCAGGAGCCAAAACCAGGGCAAUAGUGAUUUUGAGGCCAGACUUGGCUAGGUGAUGACAGGGUAUCUCACGAGAAAAAGGAAGGAGAAAAAUAAGUUCCUGGAGCAGAAUCUGAGCUGGUAAAAGAACAUGGAAUGUGUUGUGCAGGCAUUGGGCAUGUUAGUCUGUCUGUAUUAACAGAAUCAAGGUUUAUCUUUAUUUGCCUUCAGCAGAACAUAGCUUUACUUGUAGUUGAUAUUAAGUGAGUGUAUAGCUAAUAAUUUGAUUUUUCAUCACUGAAGGAAAGGAGAAAUGCUUACUCUUGUAUUUUCUCAUUCUCUCGCUUCCUCACCAUAUCGUUUAACCAUAGUCCUUUCUAUUGUGUC